rnacentral:rRNA from 1 species
GUUAUAUGGUCAAGUGAAGAAGCGCAUACGGUGGAUGCCUUGGCAGUCAGAGGCGAUGAAAGACGUGGUAGCCUGCGAAAAGCUUCGGGGAGUCGGCAAACAGACUUUGAUCCGGAGAUCUCUGAAUGGGGGAACCCACCUAGGAUAACCUAGGUAUCUUGUACUGAAUCCAUAGGUGCAAGAGGCGAACCAGGGGAACUGAAACAUCUAAGUACCCUGAGGAAAAGAAAUCAACCGAGAUUCCCUUAGUAGUGGCGAGCGAACGGGGAUUAGCCCUUAAGCUUCAUUGAUUUUAGCGGAACGCUCUGGAAAGUGCGGCCAUAGUGGGUGAUAGCCCCGUACGCGAAAGGAUCUUUGAAGUGAAAUCGAGUAGGACGGAGCACGAGAAACUUUGUCUGAACAUGGGGGGACCAUCCUCCAAGGCUAAAUACU